rnacentral:lncRNA from 1 species
CCUGCCUAAGCCUCCUGAGGAGCUGGAAGCACAGGCAUGACUCACUAUACCUGGCUAUAAGUUGCACUUUAAAGAUGAAGAAGCUGAAGCUCAGGGAGGAUAAAUUAUGCACUGAAGGUCACCCAAGUAACGCGGUCACACAGCGCAGUGAGCAAGCCCAUAUAUGCUGACGGAUCCAGGACACAAUACCACGAGGACCUAGCUACACAGGGUCCACACUGGAGGAGACAACCAAGACACUGCCAGAAUCUGCUUGUGCAGGAAAAAAAAGAAAAAAAUCUGACCUGGGCUUUAAAUUUGGACUUACAAGCUUUAACCUUGAGAAAGUCAUGUAUCUUUCUGGGUCUCAGCUUCCUUAUCUGUAAAAUGGGCUCCAUGUUAGUACUUGUGUCAUUGCAUGUUGUGGGGACCUCAGCUUCCCUUUGCUGGAACAGGAAGGCAUCUACAGAGGGGAAGAGGACUGGGAAGUUCAUCAGAUUGAGGUGGACAGUGAGGCACAGCAGGGGCAGCCAGACCGUGCGGUGCCAGGGCCUCUCCCCUCCAGAGGGCGUGGCUCCUCUUGGAUCUCCGCAUCCCAGCCCGCUGACCCAGCGCCUGGCUGGCAGCCCUGGAGGCAUGGGCCCAGCUGGUGGCAGGAGCCCUGGACAGGGGAAGGAGCAACUGGGAAACCCAUG